GCUGCAAGAUUCAUUCCAGUUUAUCAGAAUAAUCAUCUGGGGCCGAGACUGCAGAUAAACAGCCAAAUCCACAGUCUCGCUAUGUGGGUAACAUGGUCAUCAAUUGGAAUUACCUAGGAUGGGGAGCAGAACCCAGAGGUAGUUGGGUACCUGGUAACGAGACUGCUGACACUUCCUAGUAUCCGUCCUUCUCCAUCGGCACAUGAUCUUGGGAGAUGCUGAAGACCCUGGAAGUGGAAGCUUGACUAAGAGACUCCGUGGUGAAGCUCCCACAGAAAAGCACAUGGACUAAUUUGUUCGUCACGGGCCAAAAUGUGCUUCCAGCAUCCCUGCACAGCCUCUGGCCCAGACUUCAAUGGUAAGCUAAACUCCCGCAGGAGCCAAGGACAUUGAAGCACAGUCAAUGAAAGCCUGUUUUCUAGGAUCCAAAGCUGCAACCUGCGAACCUCAGCUGUAUCAUCUCAUCUGACACGGAACAGAGAGGGGCCAGCCAGGUGCUUAACGAAGCCAUGUUUUCAGCCUGAGUGCACAGAAACCAGACAGGGUUUUGGCAUAUGGCCACGGCUGCCUUUGAGCUCAAAAUUCUCCAACCUCAACCUCCUGAAUGCUGGGAUUACAAGUGUGCAGCACCAUACAUGGUUUAUUGCCCUCCUCACUGGGGAGGGAUGUCACUGUAGCUGAUGGAAUUCCAACCUGCUUCUGCCAUCCCAAAGGGAAACAACUGCCUCAAAAGAGAUGGAGGACUAUAGCUACAGACUCAGUCCCGGAGCAACUGUGGAACUGACGUGAGCGUCUUGAAUAAGCACUUGUUAUUCUGUGUGUGUGUACAUGUUUGUGUAGGUGUGCACUUUGUGUGUGCAGAGGCCAGAGGAUGGAACUGGGUGUUUUCCCCAGUUGCUCUCUAUUUCACUUUUUGAGACAGGGUCUUUCACUGGCUUGGAGCUUGCUGAUUUGGGGAGGUUGUCUGGCCUUUGAUCCACUUGUCCCUGCCUUCCCAGCAUGAGAUUUGCAGACAAAUCACCACGCUUGUCUUUCCACACAGGUGGGCAGUUCAAACUCAGGUGCCUUUGCUUGUGUGGCAAGCACCUUACGAAUGAACCAUCUCCCUCACCUGCUUGUUGUUAUCUAUGGAUAUACUCCAAAUGUCAUCCCUGGCCAUUGAUUUGACUCUUAGGGGGUGAAACUUGACAUUCCAGGUGAGGCAGACAGAGAACGUUGCAGAGGAACAUCCUUUCUGAUGAGCAGAGACAGUCACCCACAUGUGUGUGCAUGAAGAAGAGAGCUUAAGUUUUCUAAAAUGUAACAGUGAUGAUUAUGACUGCUUUUAUUAACCCCUACCUUGCUUUUUAUUAACUCCUACCUUGCCAUGUUAACUGGCUCAUGAUUCAGCCCUAGAUCUGCCACUGAUUGGCUGUGUGCUCUUAGCUAAACCCAGCUCCCUCUCUGAGCCCUAGCUGAAAGAAAGAUGAAAUUUCAAGACCUGUAAGUCAUAUAAAGUACUCAGAAAUUGCUGGUUGUUUGUGAGCCUAGAGGCUGCCUGGGGCUGAGAACAAAGAAAAACAAACCCGGGUAUGCCCCGUAGUUAAAACAUUCCUGGGAACAUCUUGACCAUUAAGGAGGAAUGUGAGGACAUAACAGGGCUAUCUAACUGAGUCAACAACUCACAGAACUCUGACACCCUGCACGUACAUGUAAUUUUUCUGCUGAUGUUUGAAUAAGCCAAUAGUGUGUUGCACUAUGCAGAAUUCCACACCCCUAAGCCCCUUACCCCAUAAAAACCCCUAGCUUCCGAGCCUCGUAGCUGACAUCCGUUAUCUCCUGUGUGGGAUGCAUGUCAGUCUGGAGCUCUGUCAUUAAACUGCCUCAUGUGAUUACAGC
rnacentral:lncRNA from 1 species